UACAGAGGUGGCAAGCGUUGUUCGGAAUUACUGGGCGUAAAGGGCUCGUAGGUGGCCAACUAAGUCAGACGUGAAAUCCCUCGGCUUAACCGGGGAACUGCGUCUGAUACUGGAUGGCUUGAGUUUGGGAGAGGGAUGCGGAAUUCCAGGUGUAGCGGUGAAAUGCGUAGAUAUCUGGAGGAACACCGGUGGCGAAGGCGGCAUCCUGGACCAACACUGACGCUGAGGAGCGAAAGCCAGGGGAGCAAACGGG
rnacentral:rRNA from 1 species